GCUAGCUACAGUGGUAUCUUCAACCUAGCCUCGCUUUUAGCUAGCUGCUCUGCAGUGCAAGCUAGCUUGACUUGCUAUAAAGUUAGAAGCAAGUUGAGGAAAAAGUAACAGAACAUGUUUUAUCACCCCCCAAAACAACUAAUAUAUAUUUCUAUACAAAAAUACAUGAAAUAAAUAUUUAAAAAAUGGGGCUUCAGACCAAAUUCUUCCAGGCGUAGCAUAGCGUUGGCCAGAGCAAGGAGUCUGAGUAGCCAGGCAAAUGUGCACCCACUUAUAUCCGUGCAUUCAAUAACAUCCUAAUCAUUACUACAUUUCUAUUAGAUCGAAUGAGCCUCAUGUAGCAAAUUAGCAAUACAUUUUUUUGUUGUCGACCAAAUUUGACACGCGAUUGGCUUUCCAUUCAAAAACUUACCAUAUCAUGGGCUUAUUUUCAUGGACAACUUUUGGGCGGAAUAAAACCUCUUGCUUUGCCUCUUCCUCUCUGACAUUAUGUUGCAGAAUGCCUGCUUAAUCUGGAAGCCAGCCACUCCACUGUGUCAGAGGAAACACCGUACACCUGGCGAAUGUGUCAGCGUGCAUGCACCUGGCCCGCUAGAGCAUGAUGGGACAAGGACAUCCCUGCGGGCCAAAACCCUCCCCUAACCUGGACAACGCUGGGCCAAUUGUGUGCCGCCCCAUGGGUCUCCCGGUCGCGGUCUUGUGGCACAGCUAGCAACUGCGAUGCACUAAUAUGAGGAAAUAUAUUUUCGUAUAUAAACUGACGGCCAAAUUAUGACACAAAUCAUUUGAACUGCGAGGCUGGUAACUCUAAUGAACUUAUCCUCUGCAGCAGAGGUAACUCUGGGUCUUCCUUUCCUGUGGUGGUCCUCAUGACAGCCAGGUAACUCUAAUGAACGUGUCCUCUGCAGCAGAGGUAACUCUGGGUCUUCCUUUCCUGUGGUGGUCCUCAUGACAGCCAGGUAACUCUAAUGAACGUGUCCUCUGCAGCAGAGGUAACUCUGGGUCUUCCUUUCCUGUGGUGGUCCUCAUGAGAGCCAGGUAACUCUGGGUCUUCCUUUCAUAGUGCUUGACGUUUUUUGCAAUUGCACAUGAAGAAACCUUUAAAAAGUUCUUGAAAUUUUCCAGAUUGACUGACCUUCAUGUCUUAAAGUAGUGAUGGAUUGUCGUAUCUCUUUGCUUAUUUGAGCUCUUCUUGCCAUAAUGUAGACUUGAGCUGUGUUUGAAUACCCAUUCUAACAUAGUGUAUACUACAUAUUUAAUGAGUAUAUACUACAUACUAUUAGUUCAUUUUAGUAUACUGGAAACGAAUGGUAUCCUUUCAGUUGAGCUACGCCUGUCUACCGGAAAGUUGAUGCUUUCGCUAUGCAACCGCUUGUUAUUUUAACAAAUUGCUAGCUAAACAUUUUACGAUUUCGGGUUUGUUCGUAAAUUCAGACUCUCGGAGCGUUCAGAGCGCACACUGGACUGGCGGAGGAGCUACGGUUGAUCCGAGGGUUCAACCGGCAGUCAAGCACUGGCUAACGUUGGCUAGUUAUUCCAGACACAUCAUGAGAGAACACCUCACUCUGACCAUUUUACUCCCCCAAUCAGAGCUGGUUAGGUUGUUUGUGUUAUCCAGAGCGUUGGUGACUAAAUGUGCUGCUGGCAACAAUUUAAUUACGCUUUUUUUUUGCUGAUGUUUACUGACACCGGCCAUAUUCAACAGGUGUUGAAUGUUUGUAAAUUCAUCAGUUAUUCUGCGGGAGAAAUCAGAGUAGAUAGCUAAGUGGUAAAGUUGUACGAUUCAAUGGCUAAUGAUGUCAAUAAACGUUGUUGGGUAGUUUAGUUAAUAUACUGCCUGGCAUGUUCGAUGUAUUAGUAGCUAGCUAACAUACCGGUACAUACUGCUGUAAUGCUAAUGCGGUUCGUAAGGACAGCAUAGCUAACAAAUUGUCAGCCAACAUAACGUGUAACGUAUUUGAAAAGGCAUUACUUUAUUACAUAUUUCAAUUUUCUUAACAUAUGUUUAUAAGCAAUGAAUUUGUGUCUGACUUUGGCUGCAUAUUUUCCACCAUUUUUAAUCUAAUCUGAAAACACGAAGCCACGCCCAUUUUCUGAAUAAUUGCAUUAUGGGUCCUAUAAGCAUGGAAAUAGUGUCCACUGCACGUAUACUUAGUAUUUUGGCGAAUUUAGUACGUCAUCCGGGAGCUUUUGGCAUACUAACCUAUGACCAAUAAGUAUACUAUAUACUCAAUUCACUUCACAAAUAGUAGUGUUAGGGAAGUCAGUAGAAGUAUUCAAACACAGCUUUGGUCUUACCAAAUAGGGAUCUUUCUGUAUACCACCCCUACCUUGUCACAGCACAACUGAUUGGCUUAAACAAGGCACACCUGUUAAUUGAAAUGCAUUCCAGGUGACUACCUCGUGAAGCUGGUUGAGAGAAUGCAACGAGUGUGCAAAGUUGUCAUUAAGCCAAAAG
ensembl:lncRNA